rnacentral:rRNA from 1 species
UGGGGAAUAUUGCACAAUGGGCGAAAGCCUGAUGCAGCGACGCCGCGUGAGGGAUGACGGCCUUCGGGUUGUAAACCUCUUUCAGCAGGGACGAAGCGCAAGUGACGGUACCUGCAGAAGAAGCACCGGCUAACUACGUGCCAGCAGCCGCGGUAAUACGUAGGGUGCGAGCGUUGUCCGGAAUUACUGGGCGUAAAGAGCUCGUAGGCGGUUUGUCACGUCGUCUGUGAAAUCCUAGGGCUUAACCCUGGACGUGCAGGCGAUACGGGCUGACUUGAGUACUACAGGGGAGACUGGAAUUUCUGGUGUAGCGGUGGAAUGCACAGAUAUCAGGAAGAACACCGAUGGCGAAGGCAGGUCUCUGGGUAGUAACUGACGCUGAGGAGCGAAAGCAUGGGUAGCGAACAGG